rnacentral:rRNA from 1 species
GUCCUUUUGAAUUUAAUUUAAGGUCUAACCUGCCCACUGAAAUUUUUUGAAGGGCCGCAGUAAUUUGACUGUGCAAAGGUAGCAUAAUCAUUAGUUUUUUAAUUAAAAGCUUGUAUGAAAGGUUGGACGAGGUAAAUUCUGUCUCUAUUUAAUUUUAUUUAAAAUUUAAUUUUUAAGUUAAAAAGCUUAAAUUUAUUUAAAAGACGAGAAGACCCUAUAGAUCUUUAUAUUAAAAAUAUUAAUUUUAAUUAAGAAUAUUUAAUUUUUUAGUAUUUAUAAUAUUUUAUUGGGGUAAUAAAAAGAUUAAUAUAAUUCUUUUUUUAUUUUUACAUUUAUUUAUGAAUAUACGAUCCAAUUUUAUUGAUUAAAAGAUUAAGUUACCUUAGGGAUAACAGCGUAAUUUUUUUAGAGAGUUCAUAUCGAUAAAAAAGUUUGCGACCUCGAUGUUGGAUUAAAAAUUAUCUUAGGUGCAGAAGUUUAAGAUUUUGGUCUGUUCGACCAUUAAAUUUUUACAUGAUCUGAGUUCAGACCGGUGUAAGCCAGGUCGGUUUCUAUCUUUAAUAAAAUAUAAUAUUUUAGUACGAAAGGACCAAAUAUUUAAUAUAUUUAUAUUUAGUUAUUUUGAAUAU